rnacentral:rRNA from 1 species
AGUCAACCUAACCUAUGGACGGGAAUAACCUCGGGAAACUGAGAAUAAUGCCCGAUAGAACAUUAUGCCUGGAAUGGUUUAUGUUCCAAAUGAUUUAUCGCCGUAGGAUGGGACUGCGGCCUAUCAGUUUGUUGGUGAGGUAAUGGCCCACCAAGACUAUUACAGGUACGGGCUCUGAGAGGAGUAGCCCGGAGAUGGGUACUGAGACACGGACCCAGGCCCUAUGGGGCGCAGCAGGCGAGAAAACUUUGCAAUGUGCGAAAGCACGACAAGGUUAAUCCGAGUGGUUUCUGCUAAAGGAACCUUUUGUCAGUCCUAGAAACACUGAUGAAUAAGGGGUGGGCAAGUUCUGGUGUCAGCCGCCGCGGUAAAACCAGCACCUCAAGUGGUCAGGAUGAUUAUUGGGCCUAAAGCAUCCGUAGCCGGCUCUGUAAGUUUUCGGUUAAAUCUGUACGCUCAACGUACAGGCUGCCGGGAAUACUGCAGAGCUAGGGAGUGGGAGAGGUAGACGGUACUCGGUAGGAAGGGGUAAAAUCCUUUGAUCUAUUGAUGACCACCUGUGGCGAAGGCGGUCUACCAGAACACGUCCGACGGUGAGGGAUGAAAGCUGGGGGAGCAAACCGGAUUAGAUACCCGGGUAGUCCCAGCUGUAAACUAUGCAAACUCAGUGAUGCAUUGGCUUGUGGCCAAUGCAGUGCUGCAGGGAAGCCGUUAAGUUUGCCGCCUGGGAAGUACGUACGCAAGUAUGAAACUUA